rnacentral:rRNA from 1 species
GACAGAGGGUGCAAACGUUGUUCGGAUUUACUGGGCGUAAAGAGCUCGUAGGUGGUUUGUCGCGUUGUUCGUGAAAACCUGAGGCUUAACCUUGGGCGUGCGGGCGAUACGGGCAGACUGGAGUACUGCAGGGGAGACUGGAAUUCCUGGUGUAGCGGUGGAAUGCGCAGAUAUCAGGAGGAACACCGGUGGCGAAGGCGGGUCUCUGGGCAGUAACUGACGCUGAGGAGCGAAAGCGUGGGGAGCGAACAGG